UACGGGGGGGGCAAGCGUUGUUCGGAAUUACUGGGCGUAAAGGGCUCGUAGGUGGCCAACUAAGUCAGACGUGAAAUCCCUCGGCUUAACCGGGGAACUGCGUCUGAUACUGGUGAGCUUGAGUGCAGGAGAGGAACGCGGAAUUCCAGGUGUAGCGGUGAAAUGCGUAGAUAUCUGGAGGAACACCGGUGGCGAAGGCGGCGUUCUGGACUGCUACUGACACUGAGGAACGAAAGCCAGGGGAGCAAACGGG
rnacentral:rRNA from 1 species